UACGUAGGGUGCAAGCGUUGUCCGGAAUCACUGGGCGUAAAGGGCGCGUAGGCGGCCUGAUAAGUAGGGGGUGAAAUCCUGUGGCUUAACUGCAGGGCUGCCUCCUAGACUGUUAGGCUCGAGCACGGUAGAGGCAGAUGGAAUUCCCGGUGUAGCGGUGGAAUGCGUAGAGAUCGGGAAGAACAUCGGUGGCGAAGGCGGUCUGCUGGGCCGUUGCUGACGCUGAGGCGCGACAGCGUGGGGAGCAAACAGG
rnacentral:rRNA from 1 species